rnacentral:lncRNA from 1 species
UUUAUUAUUGAAAUGGACCCGCAUGCUCGUUCUUCGAUGGUAAGCAAUAUUAUUUCUAAGUAAAAUCUUAGUAAUGUCGAUUAAAUACUAUUUUUCUUACUGAGUAUAUGGAACUCACUUUUUCCAUGACUCCCUCUUCAGAUGACAAUGAUAGUGAGGAACUGCUUGCUAACUUUUCCGUUGAAGGAUUUGAUGAUCCUGUAGAUCCAUGAACCAUUAUGGGUGCAUAUUGUGUUCUACACUCUAAUGAGUCCAAUUUUUGGAGAGACUUGUAUCUAUUUUAUUUCGCCUUAGUAUUUUAAGAUUUGGAAUUCAAUCUUUAUUUUGUAAGGGAUUGUAAUAU